rnacentral:rRNA from 1 species
GGACCCGCACAAGCGGUGGAACAUGUGGUUUAAUUCGAUGCUACGCGAAGAACCUCACCAAGGCUUGACAUGUAAGUAGUAGUGAACUGAAAGGGGAACGAGCCGUUAACUCGGAAGCUUACACAGGUGCUGCAUGGCUGUCGUCAGCUCGUGUCGUGAGAUGUUGGGUUAAGUCCCGCAACGAGCGCAACCAUUGCCCCAUGUUGCUACCCUCAUUUAAUAGCUUGCUAUUUAUGAGGCGCACUCUUGGGGGACUGCCUGGGAUAACCAGGAGGAAGGUGGAGAUGACGUCAAGUCAGUACGGCCUUUAUGCCUUGGGCUACACACGUGUUACAAUGGCUGGUACAAAGGGUUGCCAACCUGCGAAGGGGAGCUAAUCUCAAAAAGCCAGCCUCAAUUCGGAUAGCAGUCUGCAAUUCGACUGCUUGAAGCCGGAAUCGCUAGUAAUGGGAGAUCAGCUCGCUCCCGUGAAUACGUUCCCGGGUCUU